AAUGUAAAAAGAUACAAUUAAAACAAAUACUGAUUUUAUAGGGUUUUGUGAGUAAAAAUAAAAGAAAGUAAGUAAUGGAAAAAUUAUUAAAUGGUGGCUCCGAAUGGACUUGAACCAUCGACCACUACCA
rnacentral:antisense_RNA from 1 species